rnacentral:misc_RNA from 1 species
UUUCCGUAGGUGAACCUGCGGAAGGAUCAUUAUUGAAUGAAACACUUCUGGCUUUAUGCUGUUGUGCUGGCCCUUUGGGCAAUGUGCACACGGCUCUGGUCACUUGUUUCUUCUGUUCCACCUGUGCACUGCCUGUAGACACGCUGUGUCUAUGAUGUUUGUUAACACACAACAAUGUUAGUUGGCAUGUUAUAUAUAAUAAUAAAAUAUACAACUUUCAACAACGGAUCUCUUGGCUCUC